rnacentral:rRNA from 1 species
UACGUAGGGGGCGAGCGUUAUCCGGAUUUAUUGGGCGUAUAGCGUGCGUAGGCGGCUUGUUAAGUCCAGAAUUAAAGCCCGAGGCUUAACCUCGGUUCGUUCUGGAUACUGGCAGGCUAGAGUAUGGUAGAGGCAAAUGGAAUUCCUAGUGUAGCGGUGAAAUGCGUAGAUAUUAGGAGGAACACCAGUGGCGAAGGCGGUUUGCUGGGCCAUCACUGACGCUGAGGUACGAAAGCGUGGGGAGCAAAUAGG